rnacentral:rRNA from 1 species
GGGGGAUGCUAAACUGCAGUCGAGCGAGCUUGCCUAGAUGAUUUUAGUGCUUGCACUAAAUGAAACUAGAUACAAGCGAGCGGCGGACGGGUGAGUAACACGUGGGUAACCUGCCCAAGAGACUGGGAUAACACCUGGAAACAGAUGCUAAUACCGGAUAACAACACUAGACGCAUGUCUAGAGUUUGAAAGAUGGUUCUGCUAUCACUCUUGGAUGGACCUGCGGUGCAUUAGCUAGUUGGUAAGGUAACGGCUUACCAAGGCAAUGAUGCAUAGCCGAGUUGAGAGACUGAUCGGCCACAUUGGGACUGAGACACGGCCCAAACUCCUACGGGAGGCAGCAGUAGGGAAUCUUCCACAAUGGACGAAAGUCUGAUGGAGCAACGCCGCGUGAGUGAAGAAGGGUUUCGGCUCGUAAAGCUCUGUUGGUAGUGAAGAAAGAUAGAGGUAGUAACUGGCCUUUAUUUGACGGUAAUUACUUAGAAAGUCACGGCUAACUACGUGCCAGCAGCCGCGGUAAUACGUAGGUGGCAAGCGUUGUCCGGAUUUAUUGGGCGUAAAGCGAGUGCAGGCGGUUCAAUAAGUCUGAUGUGAAAGCCUUCGGCUCAACCGGAGAAUUGCAUCAGAAACUGUUGAACUUGAGUGCAGAAGAGGAGAGUGGAACUCCAUGUGUAGCGGUGGAAUGCGUAGAUAUAUGGAAGAACACCAGUGGCGAAGGCGGCUCUCUGGUCUGCAACUGACGCUGAGGCU